rnacentral:rRNA from 1 species
CCAAUCGAACUCGGAGAUAGCUGGUUCUCCUCGAAAUAGCUUUAGGGCUAGCCUUUGAUCAAAGAUACACGGAGGUAGAGCACUGAAUGUUCUAGGGACCUUCACCGGUUACCGAAAACUAUCAAACUCCGAAUGCCGUGCAAUCAUAUCAGGGAGUCAGACUACGGGAGAUAAGUUUCGUGGUCGAAAGGGAAACAGCCCAGACCUACAGCUAAGGUCCCAAAAUGUAAGUUAAGUGGAAAAGGAUGUGGAGCUGCAUAAACAGCUAGGAUGUUGGCUCAGAAGCAGCCACUCAUUCAAAGAGUGCGUAACAGCUCACUAGUCGAGUGACUCCGCGCCGAAGAUAAUCGGGGCUAAAACUUACUACCGAAGCUUAGGAAUUGAUUUUAAUUAAUUGGUAGAGGAGCAUCGUAUGCAGGCAGAAGGAGAGGCGUAAGCCGAUCUGGACAGUAUACGAGAGAGAAUGUUGGCAUGAGUAGCGAGAGGCAGGUGAGAAUCCUGUCCACCGAAAAUCUGAGGUUUCCUGAGGAAGGUUCGUCCGCUCAGGGUCAGUCGGGACCUAAGCCGAGGUCGAAAGACGUAGGCGAUGGACAGCAGGUUGAGAUUCCUGCACCACCGAAAUUCAUUUGAACGAUGUGGGGACACAGAAGGAUAAGCAGAGCGCACCGCUGGUCGAGUGCGUCCAAGCGUCAAGUCAGUCAUGGUAGGCAAAUCCGCCGUGAUAAUGAUGAGGCGUGAUGGGGAGGGAAGUUUAGUACCGGAAGCUGCUGAUUCCACACUGUCGAGAAAAGCCACUAGUGAGAACGUAGGUGCCCGUACCGCAAACCGACACAGGUAGAUGAGGAGAGAAUCCUAAGGUGAUCGAGAGAACUAUUGUUAAGGAACUCGGCAAAAUAACCCCGUAACUUCGGAAUAAGGGGUACCUCGCGAGAGGUCGCAGUGAAUAGGCCCAGGCGACUGUUUACCAAAAACACAGGUCUCUGCUAAAGCGAAAGCUGAUGUAUAGGGGCUGACGCCUGCCCGGUGCUGGAAGGUUAAGGGGAUCCGUUAACGUAAGUGAAGCGGUGAACUUAAGCCCCAGUAAACGGCGGCCGUAACUAUAACGGUCCUAAGGUAGCGAAAUUCCUUGUCAGGUAAGUUCUGACCCGCACGAAAGGCGUAACGAUCUGGGCACUGUCUCAACAAUAGACUCGGUGAAAUUGUAGUACCGGUAAAGAUGCCGGUUACCCGCAGCAGGACGGAAAGACCCCAUGGAGCUUUACUGCAGUUUGAUAUUGAGUUUCGGCAUUGCACGUACAGGAUAGGUGGGAGACUAUGAAGUAAGGGCGUCAGUCUUUAUGGAGUCACCGGUGGGAUACCACCCUUGUAAUGUUGGAAUUCUAACCGCAUACCGUGAACCGGUAUCGGGACAGUGUCUGACGGGCAGUUUGACUGGGGCGGUCGCCUCCCAAAGAGUAACGGAGGCGCCCAAAGGUUCCCUCAGUGCGGACGGAAAUCGCACGCAGAGUGUAAAGGCAGAAGGGAGCUUGACUGCGAGACAUACAGGUCGAGCAGGGACGAAAGUCGGGCUUAGUGAUCCGGUGGUACCGAGUGGAAGGGC